GGGGAAUAUUGCACAAUGGGCGCAAGCCUGAUGCAGCAACGCCGCGUGAGGGACGACGGCCUUCGGGUUGUAAACCUCUUUUAGUAGUGAAGAAGCGAAAGUGACGGUACCUGCAGAAAAAGCACCGGCUAACUACGUGCCAGCAGCCGCGGUAAUACGUAGGGUGCAAGCGUUGUCCGGAAUUAUUGGGCGUAAAGAGCUCGUAGGCGGUUUGUCGCGUCUGCUGUGAAAACCCGAGGCUCAACCUCGGGCCUGCAGUGGGUACGGGCAGACUAGAGUGCGGUAGGGGAGAUUGGAAUUCCUGGUGUAGCGGUGGAAUGCGCAGAUAUCAGGAGGAACACCGAUGGCGAAGGCAGAUCUCUGGGCCGUAACUGACGCUGAGGAGCGAAAGCAUGGGGAGCGAAC
rnacentral:rRNA from 1 species